rnacentral:rRNA from 1 species
UGGGGAAUUUUGGACAAUGGGCGAAAGCCUGAUCCAGCAAUGCCGCGUGUGUGAAGAAGGCCUUCGGGUUGUAAAGCACUUUUGUCCGGAAAGAAAUCCUUGGCUCUAAUACAGUCGGGGGAUGACGGUACCGGAAGAAUAAGCACCGGCUAACUACGUGCCAGCAGCCGCGGUAAUACGUAGGGUGCAAGCGUUAAUCGGAAUUACUGGGCGUAAAGCGUGCGCAGGCGGUUUGCUAAGACCGAUGUGAAAUCCCCGGGCUCAACCUGGGAACUGCAUUGGUGACUGGCAGGCUAGAGUAUGGCAGAGGGGGGUAGAAUUCCACGUGUAGCAGUGAAAUGCGUAGAGAUGUGGAGGAAUACCGAUGGCGAAGGCAGCCCCCUGGGCCAAUACUGACGCUCAUGCACGAAAGCGUGGGGAGCAAACAGGAUUAGAUACCCUGGUAGUCCACGCCCUAAAACGAUGUCAACUAGUUGUUGGGGAUUCAUUUCCUUAGUAACGUAGCUAACGCGUGAAGUUGACCGCCUGGGGAGUACGGUCGCAAGAUUAAAACUUAAAUGAAUUGACGGGAUCAUAGCUGUUUCCU